CAGUCGCCGCGGGAAUACGUAGGUCCCGAGCGUUGUCCGGAUUUAUUGGGCGUAAAGCGAGCGCAGGCGGUUAGAUAAGUCUGAAGUUAAAGGCUGUGGCUUAACCAUAGUACGCUUUGGAAACUGUUUAACUUGAGUGCAAGAGGGGAGAGUGGAAUUCCAUGUGUAGCGGUGAAACGCGUAGAUAUAUGGAGGAACACCGGUGGCGAAAGCGGCUCUCUGGCUUGUAACUGACGCUGAGACUCGAAAGCGUGGGGAGCAAACAGGAUUAGAUACCCCAGUAGUCCCUGUCUCUUAUACA
rnacentral:rRNA from 1 species